rnacentral:rRNA from 1 species
AAUUCGAUGCAACGCGAAGAACCUUACCUGGCUUGACAUCCCGAGAAUCCCCUGGAAACAGGGAGUGCCGUUCGGGGAACUCGGAGACAGGUGCUGCAUGGCUGUCGUCAGCUCGUGUCGUGAGAUGUUGGGUUAAGUCCCGCAACGAGCGCAACCCUUGUCUUUAAUUGCCAGCAUUCAGUUGGGCACUUUAAAGAGACUGCCGGUGUUAAGCCGGAGGAAGGUGGGAUGACGUCAAGUCCUCAUGGCCUUUAUGCCCAGGGCUACACACGUGCUACAAUGGGUGGUACAAAGAGAUGCCAACUCGCGAGAGCGCGCCAAUCUCAAGAAAGCCAUCCUCAGUUCGGAUUGGAGUCUGCAACUCGACUCCAUGAAGUUGGAAUCGCUAGUAAUCGCGGAUCAGCACGCCGCGGUGAAUACGUUCCGGCCUU